UAGGGCGGGGCUUAAAGGUCCGCGGGUAAAAAGGUCCACCAUGCCUAACUCCGAAACUAAAAGUUCGUUUGACAUCGAAGUGACCAGAAUGUGAGGGGUUAGCGGGGGGAGUACGCGCGCCGCCUCGCGUAGUGCGCUGGCAAACGCCGACCGGUCUGUACAUGUCCGCGUCGAAAAAAUCUCAUAAUGCGUAAUUAUAAGAGAAAAACCGAACGGGGGACGAAGUCUGUGGAGUUAAUGAAGCGUGCUGCUGAGUUGGUGAUAAGAAUCAGUCACCAACAAAUACUGAAAAUCAAUUGAAUAGCUCUCGAUUGACAAUGAACGAGCCCGAGUUGUCUGCUACACCACUUUUGUCAUCAUCAAGUGAUCCUUUAUUAUCUCCUGCAGCUGCUCUUGAGUCACAGCCUCAGCUUUCAACAUCUCAUGCGAUUUCAUUACUCAGCAAUGAGCCCCAACCGUCAACAACUGCGGAUAUCUUUUCUCCUUUAUCUGUCAGACCUUUGCCUAAAGCUGGAGCUCGUAAAGUUAUGAAUAGGAAACGACGUAAGACAGCCAUAUUAACAGACACACCUGAAAAGGAAGCUCUAACUCUCGAACAAGAAAAUAAAAAGAAAAAGCAGGUCACUUCUCGCAAAAAAGCUGUAACAAAGAAAAAUAAGCAAGUGAAAAGAAAAAUUUUAGCAACUAAAAAUAAAAAUUGCUCUAGUUCUGAAGAAGAAGAAUGCUUUUGUUUAGUGUGCUGUGACUCAUUUGCAGAAAGUGUUCCUGGAGAAGGCUGGGUACAAUGCUCAGCUUGUAAAAAAUGGGCCCAUGACAGGUGCACUGACCAGCCCUCAUCAAAUGUAACAUAUGUAUGUUGCAAUUGUGACUCAGAUGGCGAUUAGGUAUCUAACUGAUUAUAUUGAUCACAAAUAAUUAAUAAGGAGUCACAAUCAAAAUGCCGUCCAUAGGUGUGAGUUCAGAAAUAAGUUGAGUGACUAUUUUUGGUUGGGUUAGUUUCAACUUUUAAGUUUUAAAGAAGUUUAUUUUAAAUAACCCAAGUUGAGUGACUAUUUUUGUUUUGUUCAGUUUCUAAUUUUAAGUUUUGAAAAGAAGUUAAUUUUAAAAGGUUAUUCUAUAACGUAGAUUUUAUGUCUGAUACCAAAAAAUGAACCACAAGACUAAAUGUUACAAUCUAAAAAUUGUGCCAUAGUUAUAAGUUGGGUAGAAAUUAAAAUAGUAGACAUUUGGUUUCUUUUUUAUAUAUAAAAAUAUAAUUGAGUUGAUUUAACAUGCCUUACUUUUAUUUAUCUGAUUUAAAUAACUAUACAAUGCCAUAUAAUUUUAGUGGUCCUUUUUGCCCUGACACUGGCCCUUCAUGCCCCACAGUCGGGGCUAAAAGGUCUAAUCGACCCGACUUUCUAUAUUGUUAAUAUCUGUCUUGGAGUUGAAAACUGGUUAUAUUAAAAUAUUGUCACUAAUAGAUGAAGAACUACGCUAUCCAUUGCUAUUAAAACCUUUUUCGUAAACAUUAUAAGUUAGCAGUUACAACCAAAUAUACGUAAAAUGGCCCUUUUUGCCCCGCCCUACCCUA